rnacentral:lncRNA from 1 species
UGAGGAUGAACUGUUCAUAUUUGCAAUUUGGGGAGGGUUGGUAUUGGUCUAAGAUUGAUCAGUUUAAUGGAGAAAGGUGGGUUCAUUGCCCUAUUUCCUCCAUUGAUUGUAUUGGUGAUGGCCUGAAAUUCGAUAGGCAAGCAAAUUAGGGUUUAUUUCAGGCGGAUGCAUCUGGGGUUGUUGGUUUGAGUUUUGAGAGAGAUUGGUAACAAUUGUCAAGGGAUUUCUAUUAACAUGAUUUACGAGCACCACGUUUCCUGUAUAACCCACAUAUCCUGGGUUCAUGAGAUAAGAGGGUUUGGAGAU